GGGUGCGAUCAUAUCAGUGUUAAUGCACCGGAUCCCAUUAGAACUCCGUAGUUAAGCGCACUUGGGCUAGAGUAGUACUGGGGUGGGUGACCUCCCGGGAAGUGCUAGUGUUGCACCCU
rfam:Picea glauca, whole genome shotgun sequence.